rnacentral:rRNA from 1 species
GAACGCUUGCUGCAUGCUUUAUACAUGCAAGUCGAACGAAGGCCCUAGCUUGCUAGGUGUCCUUAGUGGCGCACGGGUGAGUAACACGUGGGAACAUACCUCAUAGUACGGAAUAACUGCGGGAAACUGUAGCUAAUACCGUAUAUUCCAGAAAUGGGAAAGAUUUAUCGCUAUGAGAUUGGCCCGUGCAAGAUUAGCUUGUUGGUAAGGUAACGGCUUACCAAGGCUCCGAUCUUUAGCUGGUUUGAGAGGAUGAUCAGCCACACUGGGACUGAGACACGGCCCAGACUCCUACGGGAGGCAGCAGUAGGGAAUAUUGGACAAUGGGGGAAACCCUGAUCCAGCAAUGCAGCGUGAGUGACGAAGGCCUUAGGGUUGUAAAACUCUUUCAUCGGUGAGGAUAAUGACAGUAGCCGAAGAAGAAGGACCGGCUAAUUCCGUGCC